UACGUAGGAGGCAAGCGUUGUCCGGAAUUACUGGGCGUAAAGCGCGUGUAGGCUGCUUGGAAAGUCGGAUGUGAAAGCCCUGGGCUUAACCCAGGAAGUGCACUCGAAACUUCCAAGCUCGAGUCCUGGAGAGGGUGGCGGAAUUCUCGGUGUAGAGGUGAAAUUCGUAGAUAUCGAGAGGGACACCGGUGGCGAAGGCGGCUACCUGGACAGUGACUGACGCUGAGACGCGAAAGCGUGGGGAGCAAACAGG
rnacentral:rRNA from 1 species